UCGAGAAAGAGCAACAAUUUUAUGUGAACCCAGUCUCUGAGGGAUCAACCCUACUCCCUAUACUGCUCAAGUUUGAAAAUUAGGUGUAGGAUUAUAUUGGUGGAAUCGACAACCAUCACUUUGUAUUUCUAGGAGAGUGAAGGAAUCCGAUCCUCAAUUUCCAUGAACCACUCCUUUACCCAUGGCUACUUUAACUUUUUGCUAGAAUUCGAGACCCCUUACAAACUUUACCUCCA
rnacentral:lncRNA from 1 species